UGUAUGAUCACUGAAGUUAAGCAACAUUGAACCUGGUCAGUACCUAGAUGGGUGGUCGCUUGGGAAUACCAGGUGCUGCAAGC